AAAAAAUACAACUGGCUUCAUUUCAUGGGAGUACUGCCAUUAUCCUGCCGAAAGAAAAGCCAUGUUGAUUGUUUCUGAUUUUGCUUUUCUGGGGGGUAAAAUCAUGACACCUUGACAGGGACAUCA
ensembl:snoRNA